rnacentral:rRNA from 1 species
AGUGAACGCUGGCGGCGUGCCUAACACAUGCAAGUCGAACGAGAACGGGAUAUAGCUUGCUAUAUUUGUCAGCUAAGUGGCGCACGGGUGAGUAAUGUAUAGAUAACCUGCCCUCUAGAAAGGAAUAACAGUUGGAAACGACUGCUAAUGCCCUAUAUGCCUUUAAUACAUAAGUAUGCAAGGGAAACGCUUUAGUGCUAGAGGAUGGGUCUGUAUGGUAUCAGCUUGUUGGUGAGGUAAUGGCUCACCAAGGCUAUGACGCCUAACUGGUUUGAGAGGAUGAUCAGUCACACUGGAACUGCGACACGGUCCAGACUCCUACGGGAGGCAGCAGUGGGGAAUAUUGCACAAUGGACGAAAGUCUGAUGCAGCAACGCCGCGUGGAGGAUGACACAUUUCGGUGCGUAAACUCCUUUUAUAUAGGAAGAUAAUGACGGUACUAUAUGAAUAAGCACCGGCUAACUCCGUGCCAGCCGCCGCCGUAA